AAAAAAAGAAGUGUACAGAUUUUUUGCCGAAUGUGCGCACUAAACGAUUGAUGGGAAAGGGUCUCUGCAGCAGCAGCAGCACAGGCGAGCGGAGAAGCGAUGACGCAAGUGUGUGCCCGCGGGCCGGUCCGUAUAUCAAACGGAU
ensembl:ncRNA Y67D8A.7 ncRNA